rnacentral:rRNA from 1 species
AUAGAGACUCAGAGCUGCAUAUCAAUAAGCGGAGGAAAAGAAACUAACUAGGAUUCCCUUAGUAACGGCGAGUGAAGCGGGAAGAGCUCAAAUUUGAAAUCUUCAAGGUUUUACCUUGACGAAUUGUAGUUUAAAGAAGUGUUUUCUGUUGGUGUUUUGGUAAAAGUUCUUUGGAAUAGGACAUCAUAGAGGGUGAGAAUCCCGUAUUUGACCAUUACUUCCAGCGUUGUGAUACACUUUCAAAGAGUCGGAUUGUUUGGGAAUGCAGUCCAAAAUGGGUGGUAAAUUUCAUCUAAAGCUAAAUAUUGGCGAGAGACCGAUAGCGAACAAGUACCGUGAGGGAAAGAUGAAAAGAACUUUGAAAAGAGAGUUAAACAGUACGUGAAAUUGUCAAAAGGGAAGCGUUUGACACCAGUGUUGUUUUUCCGAAAAUCAAUUACGAAUGGCUUGAUUCUGUGUUGUAUUGACCUUAUCAGCUUUCUUCACUUUUUUCGAGUCUUUCUUAAUGCACUUUUCGGUUAACAAGUCAACAUCAAUUUCUUUUGUUGUAAAAGAGUAUUCGGAAGGUGGCUUUCUUUUCGGAGAAAGUGUUUAUAGCCCUAUACUUCUACAAUCGGAGAGAUUGAGGUCUGCAGCGUAGAUCCUUCGGGGUUAGAUACAUUUGUGCUAAGUUGUAGCUUUUCAUAGACAACUUGUUGACUAUGUUUAGUCAUGCGGCUUACUCGCUUAUGCUAUUUUACCUACGCUUAGGAUGUUGAAGUCAUCGUAUCGCGC